GAAGGAAGAGGGGGGAGGGAGGAAAAAAGGAAAGUAGAAAGGAAAGGCCCCAGCUUGCUGGGGUACUCGAGUGGCGAACGGGUGAGUAACACGUGGGUGAUCUGCCCUGCACUCUGGGAUAAGCCUGGGAAACUGGGUCUAAUACCGGAUAGGACCGUGCUUUAGUGUGUGCGGUGGAAAGUUUUUCGGUGCAGGAUGAGCCCGCGGCCUAUCAGCUUGUUGGUGGGGUAAUGGCCUACCAAGGCGGCGACGGGUAGCCGGCCUGAGAGGGUGUACGGCCACAUUGGGACUGAGACACGGCCCAGACUCCUACGGGAGGCAGCAGUGGGGAAUAUUGCACAAUGGGCGCAAGCCUGAUGCAGCGACGCCGCGUGGGGGAUGACGGCCUUCGGGUUGUAAACCCCUUUCGGCAGGGACGAAGCUUUUGUGACGGUACCUGCAGAAGAAGCACCGGCUAACUACGUA
rnacentral:rRNA from 1 species